UUUGGAUUUGAGACUUUAGUCUUUGCAACUUUACAGAUCUUCUUUAUGCACCAAGAGCUUGUAACACUCCAAAGAGAAAGGAAAAAUUUAAAUAGCAUCAUAUGACCCCUUUAAAAAAGCAAAGUAUGAGGUUAGGCGAGACACUUAAGCCCUAAGUAUGCUUUGGUUUUUAUGUGUACAGUAGAGUACAAUAAAUGUCAUCAUCAGCAGUGUAUAUGCAUUGUAUACACAAAAAAACAGAAGUGUUCUUUUUGUUGAUAAUCAAAUGCAGUAAUUUUGCAAGAUUAUAUUUUAGACUGCAUUUUGACAUCACAAGUAAUGACGUAAUUCCAUUCACUGUAGAGUGUUUGUAUUAUGAUAAAAAAGUAAUUUAGCUAGCUCGCAGGUAUACUAUUGAUCUUUAAAACCCUCCAAGAGUUGAAUUCACUGGUUAAUGUUAGUUAAUAAUAAUAUUCUGGGCUGGGUGGUUAAACACGAUAUGAAGCCAAAUUACUUCUCAUGCUAAAAACAUCACAAUGCUUUUGUCAGCCAACAUUAACCAGGCCAUGGAGGUGCAACAAGGUUUUAUCAACACAGAUCAAUGUCCUCUCUCUGCUCCUCAAUAUAUCUUCUCUGCAGACCUCCACAUGACCGGACAGCAGUUCUACCCAGCAGAAUCCAUUCCAUGUUCAAGCUCUUCUAGCCAUCUCAUUGACUUCAUGAGCCACUAUGAAGAUCUGAGGCAUGAGGCGCCUGUCCUAAAUUGUGAAUAUUGCCUCCAUGAUGACAGUUAGAUGGACAGUCUUUAGUUCUGGACUUCUGGGUUCCUGUUUGUUCCUUUGACAGGACUGCACUAGAGUGUGUUACCAUUGUGAUAUAUCUUACUCAUUGAUUUUUCAGUUCUUAUAACAACCACAAUAGUUUUUGAGGUUGUAUUACAAAAUAAAAUGUUUCAAAUUUCCAGCCUUAAAAGAGUGUCUGCAUUUUCAUAAACAAUGGAAAAGACUUAAACAGAUUCAGGAACUGUUCUGAAACAAAUCAGGCUGAAUUCCGGUUGGAGGCAUGUUGGCUGCCAGGGUCCCAUUUAUUUAAAUCAAUGAAUUUCAAAGAUUUUUUUUUUUUUUACCAUCAUGUCAUCAUUCAAUAUGAUUUUUUUUUUAAAA
rnacentral:lncRNA from 1 species